GAGGAAGAUAGCCUUGCUUCCCAGUCAUCUGGGCAGUGUGUAGCCCCUAUUUUAUGUAGGUUAUGGGGAGGUGAUGGGACUGCCUGUGGUGAGAAGGGAGGCUUGAUUCUCUUCUCUGAGGAGCAGGCCAGGCUAUUGAAGAGGUCUUUGUUCCUUAACUUACUGCUGAAACUGCAUAAGCUUGUGUGCCUUGCUCUGACUGAAAGCAGAAGGUUGGAUGGCUCAUCUGAACAAGGGAAAUAAAACCACACCACUUCCUGGACUGAACUUCUGGAAAAAAAUCAUAGUAAUUUCACCUGGACCUUAUUAGCCUUACAAUUAGAAGAACUUUUUUUUCACCACCUUGUGUUCUGGGAGAGAAAGUGACUUAACUGGAUUAAGCUGGGCUGACAGGAUGUUCUCCAUUACAGAGCUAGCAGCAGUCUGUGCCAACAGAGGAACAGAAAACGCGCUCAUCCUUAGUGAGGCUCUCCAUAAGCAUCUUCACAUGCACAGAGAUUUUUCUUUAAGGCAAUCAGGCUGCCCCUGACCAGAAGCCUGCUAUGCUUAAUGAAACACCAGCUGAGCUUCUUGGAUCCAAGCAUGUGAAGUGAGGGGGCAUGUAAGCAUCUGUUUGGAUACAACUGAAAAUCCCAGCUGUCAGUGAGGAUUUAGCAAUGUGCAGCUGAGAGGUGGCUCCUGUUCUCAUUGAAAAGUACCUCAGUUACUGGAAGGUACCUUCUGGAUGGAGCCUUCCAAUGGUCUUGCUGUGCAUACCAGGACAUCCUGCCAAACACCUGGAAACUUGACAGUAAUGCCCAAUGAGGAUGUUGCCUCCCUCUUUUGUCUUUACUGCUGCCCUGGUGGUGAUAUUACAAAGAUGCUGAUUCUUUUUCUCUGUGGGUGCUUGUGAUGCACUCUCGGGAUGAAAAGGUAACUGCUGAGAGUACUGAGCAUUACGUUAAAAAAAGAAAAACAGGAUUAUACUGUUUGCAUCAAAUGUGUCCAUACACGAGCUAUUCCUUAAGGUGUGUGAGCAGCAAAAAAAGGCUGUCUCAUCCAUUUACAGAACUGGUUUUUUUUUUUAUGAUCUACAGGAAGAAAAAAAUCUCAUACUUGGAAAUGAACUAAUGGAGUUCUGUGCUUGUUACCUGUAUGUGGGAGCCCAGCAACAUGUCUCAUACUUCUGUAUAGGGUUUGACUGACUAGAUGGAAACAGAGCAUUGGUUUGCUCUUUAACUGAGGGUCUGAACUCAAAUUUCAAGCUGCCUUAAUUUCCCAGUUUAGAGCUGGGGAAAUACAAAAGGGUUAUAGAGCUUGUAAAGUCAGAGUGCAGUGGCCUGCAGUCUUACUAACUUCAUGUAAAAUUUUCACUCUUGACAUUCUUUCCAGAUCCACUUCAACUCUGAGAUGAUGUGUAAGAAAGCUGAAUUAGUUUCCAUGCUUCUGAACAAGUGUUAGUUAAGACAUAAUGCUGUCGCACGUGGCAACUAAUUUGUUAUUGUAAUAGAAGAGCUCUUGAUGUACCUCCCUCCUUCUUCUGCCUAGAGCACAACACUGCUUCCAAUGCUACAGGAAAGCUGCACUAACUCUAAAAUACAGAAAACUGAUUAGAGCUCAUUCAAACUGUCUAUGGGAAGAACAGCAACGCUGUUAAAAGCACGACUAUUUCUCCAAUGAAAGAGAACUGGGGGAGUGCUGCGAUGAAGUUUUUUGGAUGUUGUGAAGUGUUGUGGGUUGUGUUGAGGAAGAGGCAGGUAUAACCAAACCUGGUAAAACUGCUCUGGUGGUGGUUGCAGAUGUGCCUCAUGAACUGCGUGUGAUAAGCAUGGAGAGCCUGUCCUGUCUUCAGCCUGCUGUAACUACAGAUCAUCAGAGCGGAAUAUCUGUUGAUGCUGAAGACAAUUCUGAUAAGGUACUGAUGAGAUAAAGAUACCUCAACCACAAUGACACUUAAAUACCACGUAUAACCUGGUUAAAGCUUUUAGGUGAAGCUGGCAUCUCUGAAACAAAGACCUACCAACUCUGUCAGGGCGUGAACUUGUGCUGCAGCUUGUGUUCAGCCCUUUCUUGAGGAGCACCCAGGAAAGUGGUACCAGAUCAAAUCCUCAGGUUACGUAAAUGAAGUCUAUGUCUUCAAUGGGAAGAACUUUUCCUCUUUAAAAAAAACCAAAAAAACAAACCAAAACAACAACAACAAAAAAAAACAAACAAAAAACCAAUGGACUUGAGUGGGGAGCUCCAAUUUAUGUCUCCCAGCUUGCACCAAUGCAGCUUUAAAAUCAGCUAGAUGCAAGUUUUGCUUUUGGAUCUCUACAGAGUACACUUCUACUACUACUAGCUUCUGGGCUGCCCUGUUCCCUCCUAGGAGGGCAGCAUCUCCUAACCAGUUCAGUGAUUCGUCUUCCUUGUCAGCUGCAGGAAAUCCAAACAAGCCAAAAUCUGAGGGAGCACACAGAGGGAAAACACAGAGGAGACUUCUAAAGCCAGCUGAAGCUGCCACCUUGUCAUUCCUGUCAAUACUGCAAUAAAUAAAUAAGAGAAUAGUCAGGUAAAGAUUGACUGACCUGACAAGAAUAAACUGGAAACCCAAUCUGAUGGAACUUCUGUUUGGAUUUGUCUGCGAGUGCUGCAACAAACCAGUCACUUUCCUAUUUUAGGAAAGUAGGAAACAAGGCACAAUUGUGAUUUAUCACAGUUCUUGUGUGUGUGGCAGGAACAAGGUAGAGGUUGGAGACGAAUCCCAUUUUCUGCAGAUUAAAAACAAGGUUGGUUGUUCAUAAGGAUGUAAUUAUAACUAAUACAAUUACUGCAGUUGCAUCCAUCCUCCCAAGAUACUAAUGCCCUUGAAAAAUAAUUGAUUUCCUAGAUGGAAAAAUAAAGAUGAGAACUGGAAGAAGCUCUGGGAAACUGGAAGACCUUGCAAAGGAAACCUCAGAGAUUUCAGGGAGCAGGACAGUCUCCAAAGUGUUUUGCCUACAAAAGUCUGAGUGCCUGAGCUCUGGAGCCUUCUGAAGUGCAGCAAGGUACUGCAUAGCCUUUAAUGGAAGUUCAUGGAGGAAAGUUACCCUAAAUUGCUAAGUGUCUAGGUGGCAAUUACCGAAGGUGAACA